rnacentral:rRNA from 1 species
AAGGGGUUUGAUCAUGGGCUCAGAAUGAACGUUGGCGGCAUGGAUUAGGCAUGCAAGUCGAGCGAGAAGUUUUAGUUUGACGCUUCGGUUGAUUUCUAAAAUGGAAAGCGGCGCAAGGGAGAGUAACGCGUAGUUAUCUACCCCAAGGUCCGGAAUAGCCUCGGGAAACUGAGGGUAAUACCGGAUAAUAUCCCCGGAUCAAAGGUGUGAUUCCGCCUUGGGAGGAGACUGCGUACUACUAGCUUGUUGGUGGGGUAAUGGCCUACCAAGGCUUUGAUGGUUAGCGGGCGUGAGAGCGUGGCCCGUCUCACUGGGACUGAAACACUGCCCAGACACCUACGGGUGGCUGCAGUCGAGAAUCUUCGGCAAUGGGCGAAAGCCUGACCGAGCGAUGCCGCGUGCGGGAUGAAGGCCUUCGGGUUGUAAACCGCUGUCAGUUGGGAGGAAGGCUUCGUGAAGAGCGAAGCUUGACCUAUCUUCAGAGGAAGUCCGGGCUAAGUUCGUGCCAGCAGCCGCGGUAACACGAACCGGACAAACGUUAUUCGGAAUUAUUGGGCUUAAAGGGUGCGUANGCGGCGCGGUAAGUGAGGUGUGAAGUCCCACGACUCAAUCGUGGAACUGCGCUUCAUACUGCCGUGCUAGAGGGAGACAGAGGUAAGCGGAACUGAUGGUGGAGCGGUGAAAUGCGUUG